rnacentral:rRNA from 1 species
CCUACGGGAGGCAGCAGUGAGGAAUAUUGGACAAUGGGCGCAAGCCUGAUCCAGCCAUGCCGCGUGCAGGAAGACGGUCCUAUGGAUUGUAAACUGCUUUUAUACAGGAAGAAAUACUUUCUCGUGAGAGAGCUUGACGGUACUGUAAGAAUAAGGAUCGGCUAACUCCGUGCCAGCAGCCGCGGUAAUACGGAGGAUCCAAGCGUUAUCCGGAAUCAUUGGGUUUAAAGGGUCCGUAGGCGGUUUAAUAAGUCAGUGGUGAAAUCUGGUCGCUCAACGAUCAAACGGCCAUUGAUACUGUUAGACUUGAAUUAUUGUGAAGUAACUAGAAUAUGUAGUGUAGCGGUGAAAUGCUUAGAUAUUACAUGGAAUACCAAUUGCGAAGGCAGGUUACUAACAAUGGAUUGACGCUGAUGGACGAAAGCGUGGGGAGCGAACAGGAUUAGAUACCCUGGUAGUCCACGCCGUAAACGAUGGAUACUAGCUGUUGGGCGCAAGUUCAGUGGCUAAGCGAAAGUGAUAAGUAUCCCACCUGGGGAGUACGUUCGCAAGAAUGAAACUCAAAAGGAAUUGAGG